rnacentral:lncRNA from 1 species
UUCAAAUAUCACUCUUAUGCUCACAAAUCACCUCUAUAUACUAUAAAAGGUCUUUUAAGUACAAUUAGUAUCUAUAGGAUAUGAAACUACAAAGUUAGAUCACCAAGGAUCUAUCUCAGUAAAAACAUAAUGCAAGUGUUUUAUAAUUUUUUAUUAAGAUGAAAAACCAAAAACCAACACCAAAAUUCUCUUGACUAUAAGUAAGAGCAAACCAAGAUCUAGAUCUAAAUCUAAAUCUAAAA